rnacentral:tRNA from 1 species
UGCGAGAGUGGCGGAAUUGGCAGACGCGCUGGAUUUAGGAUCCAGUGGGGUAACCCGUGCAGGUUCGAGUCCUGUCUCUCGCAU